AUGCGGAUCUGGGGUGGCGGGACUGAGGGGGCUUGCGGCGCCCCAGCGGCGAAGGCGGAGGCGCCAGGACGCCGCUCCUGGCUUCUCAGGAUGCCAGCCGACUACACACAAGGCAGUUGUCUGAACCCCUACAGUGGGCACAAUGGGUUGAGAACAGAAUUGCCUGUGGAUCAAUCCACCACCAGGCACACGUUGUCUUCUGACCAUUUUACUCCAUCUACACCAAGAAGUUCUUGCUGGCACCUCUUCAUGUGCUGCUCACUUGGCAUCCAUUGGUGCUCCACAUUUUGGACACGGAACCAUCGCUCUCACCUGGACCCUUUGGGGGGGACUAGGUUCCACGCAAGCACGUUGGAGAGGACGCACUUUCCCUUGCUGCCAUGUUUUACCCUAGCCCCUCAUUACUGUGUUCGGGAAAUUAUUCCUUUUUCCACCCCUAAUUAGGCCUCUGGGUACUUUAUGGUAAGUGUGACAUUUUUCUCUUGACAGGCAGUAUUAUAGUGUAGAACUGUCCUUGUCACUCUUUAUUGCUUUUAAUAACUAUGAAAUCUCUUACAAGAUGUCUAGAGCCUCAUCAACAUAUGUUGAUGGCACUGUUUUAUCAGUCCUGAAAUGGUCAAGGUCACAGACAAUGUGCCAGAGGAAGGAAGACAGUGAACACAUUAUUAUAAAUAGAUAUGUGACUUGAAAAUGACCCUUUCAGGCAUGGGGACAUUAGUUGGCAAUAGGAAGGAAGUGAUGAGAUGCAAUAAUUUUAUUUUGCUUAGGGAAGUCUCCAGGUGUAUGUCAGACGCCUGCUAUGUUUAAUCUGAUUGGCGUGUUAGCACAUCAGAGGUUGAAACAUUUAUCAUCGUUAUUUCAUGAUAAUGAAAAUGAAUUAAAAGAUAAGGUGGGGCAAAAGUAUGGUUUGGAUAGUCAAAAGCUAGCAUCUGACACAUUAUUUUAACUGAGGAAAUUUAAGUGAGAACAAUGUACCUUACAUUUUGUCAUUCUGGACUUAAAAAGAAUUUUUUUAAUGUUUAUUUUUGAGAGAGGGAAAGAGAGUAUGAGCAGGGGAGGGGCAGAGAGAGAGGGGGACACAGAAUCCUAAGCAGGCUUCAGGCUCUGAGCUGUGAGCAUAGAGCCUGACGCGAGCCUCGAACUCACCAGCCGUGAGAUCGUGACCCGAGCUGAAGUCAGAUGCUCAAUUGACUGAUCCACUCAGGUGCCCCUGUCAUUGUGAACUUUUUUGAAAACAUAAGCAUUGGGAAGCAUUUUAGGUAGUAAGUUGAGAUGCUAGUACUGAAUCCCAUUUUCUUCCCUCUUGAUGUCUCAUUCAUCCUCAGAAGAUAUAUUUUAACAAUGAAAUAUCUAAAAGGUAUAUUGGUUUUGUUACUUGGGGCUCAAAAAUGUCCCCAAGCCAUCGGUUUAGAAUUGCCAGUGUAUAUAUGGGUCGGUGAUUUGU
rnacentral:lncRNA from 1 species